rnacentral:misc_RNA from 1 species
AUAAAUCAAUGUACUUGAGGUUUUCUUUUGCAAAUGCAACUAAAUCCUUCACAUCUUGUCCUUCUCUUACAUCACAUUUUGUACCCCACACAUGUUGCUCUCCAAAUUCUUCUCUCAAGCUCUGAAUAGUAGACUCCACCCUCUCAACUGAUCUUGAGCAAACCAAGACAUUGUCACCUGCCUUUAGAAACUCUUUAGCUAGUGCAUACCCUAUUCCCUUUGUUGAGCCAGUGAUUAGGACAUUGUAAGGUGGCACCAUGGCCUCUCUAUUCAAAGAAGACAGGUUCCCCGCCAUAGGAGGAAUGAUAUUUGCAGCCAUGGCAGAGUUAGUG